rnacentral:rRNA from 1 species
AGUGAACGCUGGCGGUAGGCCUAACACAUGCAAGUCGAACGGCAGCACAGUACUAGCUUGCUCUUACGGGUGCCGAGUGGCGGACGGGUCAUGAAUACAUCGGUAUCUACUUUUUCUUGGGUGCUAACGUAGGGAAUCUUACGCUAAUCCCGCAUACGACCUACGUGUGGAAGCAUGGGAUCUUCGGACCUUGCGCGAUUUUAUGAGCCGAUGUCGGAUUAGCUAGUUGGCGGGGUAAAGGCCCACCAAGGCGACGAUCCGUAGCUGGUCUGAGAGGAUGAUCAGCCACACUGGAACUGAGACACGGUCCAGACUCCUACGGGAGGCAGCAGUGGGGAAUAUUGGACAAUGGGCGCAAGCCUGAUCCAGCCAUACCGCGUGGGUGAAGAAGGCCUUCGGGCUGUAAAGCCCUUUUGUUGGGAAAGAAAAGCAGCAGGUUAAUACCCCGCUGUUCUGACGGUACCAAAAGAAUAAGCACCGGCUAACUUCGUG